UACGUAGGGUGCAAGCGUUGUCCGGAAUUAUUGGGCGUAAAGAGCUCGUAGGCGGUCUGGUCGCGGUCGGCUGUGAAAACCCGGAGCUCAACUCCGGGCCUGCAGUCGAUACGGGCAGACUGGAGUUCGGCAGGGGAGACUGGAAUUCCUGGUGUAGCGGUGAAAUGCGCAGAUAUCAGGAGGAACACCGGUGGCGAAGGCGGGGUCUCUGGGGCCGAUGACUGACGCUGAGGAGCGAAAGCGUGGGGAGCGAACAGGA
rnacentral:rRNA from 1 species